UUGACAGUUUGGCUUCCCUGUUCUGGGUGGCAAAGCCUGUGGAGUACUCACCUACCUGCUGCAUGAAGGCAGCAUGGAGGGACUGUGGUGGAUUAUCUGCAAAGAUGGCCAAAAUUCUCUCAUCCCUGCAGGCACAUACAAGGUUGUUGCAUGGCAUAAGUAAAGUGACAGUUAUAGGAUACAUGCAACUUUUCAGUGACAAAGAUCUGUGCAGCAUCGACAGUACUGCCUAAUGAGGUUUCACCAUAAUGAAGUAUCACAACCAGUUUACAGACCAGAAAACUGAGACACAGGAAGGGGUGGUGACUUGAGCAAGGUGCAUCAGCUGGCUGAAAAUAUAGAUGAACUCAGGGAGAUUCAUCUGUGCACGCCAGAGUCUGUUGUGUCACAGAGAGGGCCACGGGCCACUGAUACAGGGACUUGUGUGAAAGAAAGUGGGAGAAGGGAAGGGAGAAAGUGAGAAGGGAGGAAGAGAAAAGAGAGAGAAACCAGCCACCAUCUGCCAGCCAACCUUCUCCCAGCACCUUGCAUACUGUGCUCUGCUUAACCAUAAGCUGAUCCCUGUGACACAAAGAUUUAAGGCCCUUUGAAAUGCAUUCAGUGAACAGGAGAGGAGGAUGCCUCUUGCAUGUUAUGUGCAUCUUCCUGUUGGCAAGAGUGACCAGGCAACUCAUUUGUGGCUUUAUCUGCUUUUGUGCACCCAAUAAAUAGUAUCUUACUUGAGACAACAAAAA
ensembl:lncRNA MIR7515HG MIR7515 host gene